GAAGGUAUAGCUCAGUGGUAGAGUACAUGCUUAGCAUGCAGGAGGUCCUGGGUUCAAUCCCUAGUACCUCCA
rnacentral:tRNA from 1 species